GCGGUCUCUCCCGAAAGCAAGACUCAGUUUGAAAACUCUCGAAGCGCUGUGCCCGCGCCCUGACCCCGCAGGUCUCGUGUGGGCUGGUGCUGAGCUAGCUUUCGGGUGAUCCGGAGCUGACAGCGGCUCCAGGGACUCUUGGAGUGGAGCAGGAGCGCUCCAAGCCAUCAUGCCGAGGUCGUUCCUGGUCAAGAGCAAGAAGGCUCACAGCUACCACCAGCCGCGCUCCCCCGGACCUGACUAUUCCCUCCGCCUGGAGAAUGUGCCAGCGCCGGGCCGAGCAGACAGCACCUCGAGCGCGGGCGGGGCGGAGGCGGAGUCCCGGGGCCAUUUGUCCCCGGAGUCGCAGCUGACUGAGGCCCCCGACGGAGCCUCCCCAUCUCCUGGCAGUUGCGAGGGCAGCGUCUGCGAUCGGACCUCGGAGUUGGAGGACUUCUGGAGGCCUCCUUCGCCCUCCGUGUCUCCAGCCUCGGAGAAAUCGGUGUGCCCGUCGCUGGACGACGCUCAGGCCUUCCCCCUGUCCUUCAAGCCAUAUUCGUGGAGCGGCCUGGCAGGUUCUGACCUGCGGCACCUGGUGCAGAGCUACCGGCCGUGCGCGGCCCUGGAGCGUGGCGUGGGUCUUGGUCUCUUCUGCGAGCGCGCCCCGGAGCCGGGCCACCCUACCGCGCUGUACGGCCCAGAGCGGGCUACGGCCAGUGGCGGCGCCGGGGCCGGGGCACCAGGGGGCCGCAGCGCAGGAGGCGGCGGCGGCGGCGGCGGCGGCGGCGGCCCUGGCCUAGGGCUCUACGGCGACUUCGGGCCCGGGGCGGCGGGGCUGUACGAGCGGCCGACUGCGGCGGCGGGCGGACUGUACCCAGAGCGCGGCCACGGGCUGCACGCGGACAAGGGCACCAGCGUCAAGGUGGAGUCGGAGCUGCUGUGCACCCGCCUCCUGCUUGGCGGCGGCUCUUACAAGUGCAUCAAGUGCAGCAAGGUGUUCUCCACGCCGCACGGGCUCGAGGUGCACGUGCGUAGGUCCCACAGCGGCACGAGACCCUUUGCUUGCGAGAUGUGCGGCAAGACCUUUGGGCACGCCGUGAGCCUGGAGCAGCACAAAGCCGUGCACUCGCAGGAACGGAGCUUUGAUUGUAAGAUCUGUGGCAAGAGCUUCAAGAGGUCAUCCACCCUGUCCACACACCUGCUCAUCCACUCAGACACCCGGCCCUACCCCUGUCAGUACUGUGGCAAGAGGUUCCACCAGAAGUCCGACAUGAAGAAACACACCUUCAUCCACACUGGUGAGAAGCCCCAUAAGUGCCAGGUGUGCGGCAAGGCAUUCAGCCAGAGCUCCAACCUCAUCACCCACAGCCGCAAGCACACGGGCUUCAAGCCCUUCGGCUGCGACCUGUGUGGAAAGGGCUUCCAGAGGAAGGUGGACCUUCGGAGGCACCGGGAAACGCAGCAUGGGCUCAAGUGAGCACCCUAGCUGGCGACAGGCAGCAGUUAUACAACACUACGGAGGGCAGCCUCCCCUUGCCACUGACCCUUCUGACUUCUCAGGCCCCCCAGUCCAGUCUGCAGAUCCUACCACGGUGCUCACCCUUAGCUUUACUUCCUGGAGCUGCCAGAGCUGACGAAGAACCUUUUCGAAGUUCAGCCUGGAUCAGGAACCACGCAGCUUGCUGGGCUUUAUCCACACUGAGUAGGCCUCUCUACACCUACAGAUUCAAAGUCAAGUGAGAACAGACGAAAUCUUGAGCCCCACAGUCCUCCUCAUUCCCAGCCCUGCUCCACAGACAGGAAACUCCUUCAGGCUUGUUUCCUCCUCCUCCUGACCCACCCCAAAGCCUUGUGUGGAAGAAGAGGAAUCACCGUGUAUAAGUGUGGAUACGGUUCUAACAUCCCAUCCAACUCUGACUUCUUUGAGUUUUUGGAGAGACUAGAGGAGAGAGAAAGUAUGAGAUUGGUUAGCUGCAUCAUCUAAGGCAAGUUACAAAUCUAAAGACAUGUAAAUGAAAAAACCAAACCCACUGCCAAGGAGUCAAUUUCAACUCAUGGUGACCCCAUGUGUUACGGAGUAGAACUAUUCCAUAGGGUUUUCUUCGCUGUAAUCUUUACAGAAGCAGGUUUCCAGGCCUUUCUUCCACAGUGCUGCUGGGUAGGUUUGAACCUUUAGGUUAGUAGUUGAGCACAAAUAGUUUGCACCACCCGGGGACCUAAAGACUUAUGAAAAACAGUAAAAUUGGGGUCUCAGUUAUUUCUGGUCCUAUCCCACCUCUGGGAAUUUCUUGCUUAAACCAACCUUUUAAAAAAAAGCCAAACCCAUUGCUGUCAAGUCAAUUCCAACUCAUAGUGACCCUAUAGGACAGAGUAGAACUGCCCCAUAGGGUUUCCAAGGAAUGGCUGGUGGAUACGAACUGCUGACCUUUUGGUUAGCAGCUGAGCCCUUAACCACUGCGCCACUAGGGCUCCUUUUAAAAGAAAGAAACCAGAAUAAGGCCCUCAUCUAACUCUCAACAUGUGCUCUAACCUCUCCCAGCCAGACAUUCUGGGUAUGUAUGCGUGGCCCAUUGUGAAGACCAGCACAGCGCCCAUUGCCAUUCAGUCUUAUUUCACGCAUCUUGAUUGAGUGCCCAGUGCAUGCCUGGCACUCUUCUAGAGGACGGGGAUACAGCAGUGAGCACAACGCCCUUGUGAAACUUUAUUUAUUUGGUCACUGCUGAAUCUUCAGUUACCAGAACAGUGCCUGGCACACAGUAGAUCAAUAAGUAUUUGUUGAGGUGGUAAGCGAAUAAGCAGAGAAAAUAAACUCCUGCUUUAUCCAGUGGGCUUGCUCUGCUCCCUGCAGCAACAACCCAAACCCAUUACCAUGGAGUCGAUUCUGACUCAUAGCAACCCUGUAAGGACAGACUGAAACUGCCCUGUAGGGUUGCCAAGGCUGUGAAUCCUUACAGAAGAAGACUUCCACAUCUUUUUCCAGCGGAGUGGCUGGUGGGUUAGAAUCACCGACCUUUCAGUAGGUUGGCUGCCAAGCGCUUUACCCACUGCACCACCAGGGCUCCUUCUACAGCAACAAAGGGAAGACACAUUGCUUGAGCGCAAAGGAUAUUAAUGGAACACAUAUAUAGGACUCUGUUUCUGAGCUGGUGAGUAAGGGGGGCUCGGACACUGCUUUCUUCAGUCCCUCCAAAUCUCAGUCCUUGGCUGUCUUCCCUUGGUUUUCAACACCAUGUCUUUCCCUGUCCACUUCCUCAUAUUCAAAAUGUAAAUUUGUUUACUCGGUAAAGCAGUUUGAGAUAGUUUUCCAGAACUGGCAUGGAGAUGAGCAGUUGCAGCAUCCAGGAACUUCUUCAUUGUGUCCUGGGAGACACACUCCCUGUGAACAAAGAUGAAAGAGCAUCCUUCCCGCAGAGGUCACACUGCAUGCUGGGUGAUUGUUUCCAACCUGGUUUGAAAAAAAGAAGUUGUAUUGAAGGGUAAGUUGAAAUGAUUGAAAUCUAGCUCUACCCUUAUGAAAUAUAGAACUCUUGGUCUGUUUUCAUAAUCCCUGUUUACGCUAUCAAUGAGGAGUUGUAAUUUUGAUAUUAACAGUAUGUGUUUCUUGGGGGAAAAAAAAAUAUCUUGAUAUCCCCAGUUCAGAAUCAAAACAAAUUACUGUGCCUGUUACCAUGUGAAAUUUGAAGAUUGCAAAUAUCUCUCUUAAUGUUAUUACUUGACUCCAUUAAAAAUAGAUUGUGAAUAUUCCAUGUCACAUUAUUCAUGAAGCAGGCUCUAUGCCUUUUGUCUGCCGAGUAACAGUAGAAAAGGUAACAAGAGACACCAGAGCACACCUUUGUUUCUUUCACUAAAUUUUUAAUAACACCUCCAGCUAGCCAGUUGGUGAAGCUCAGCUCUUGCAUAAAAGUGGAAAAGCACAGCUAUCUCAAAGAGCAACCCUUUCAGCAGCUAAUUUGAGUUUGUGUUCAUCUAUACCCGAGAUGAUUAAAUUACCUAUCAAAUGUGCGGAGCUAUCAGGAUUCAGGCCACGUAAAAGGUGAACUUCAUCUGAUUGAUUUGAGACACGAAUGGAACAAUUGAGUUGAAAAGCCCCGCCUUAAUUAAAGGGAUAGCAGAGUAUCCCUCCCCGGCAGACUUCUUGACUGCGGUUGCCCUUGAAAAUUGGGUGGCAAUAGUGAUUUGACCCAUGUUGUGUUGCUGUGUGCUUGUUUGCUUAACCUGAUCAUUGAACAGAAAGAAAUGAACUCAGAGGAAGACCGAAAAGGACCUCACUACUUUCUACUGUGCAUUGCUAGAGUACUCUUUAAAUCUGUGCUGUUAUAUUAUUUCUACUGAAAGAAACUUCUCAGGAAGUGCAUACUACAUUUAUUUUAACAAUUUUUUUUCAUUCAUUAAGUUAAAUUUAAAAGCAAAAAAUUCAAAGAAAUCUCACCUCAAACUCUUCUAGCUUAAAAACCUAUGUUCAUUUUUUUAGUGUUUCUUUCCAAUCUUUAUCCACAUAUAUAAUAUAUAAAUAUAUUUUAAAAUUAUGUAUCUUAUCCUGUGGUCAGAGUAUUUACAAUUUAUGUCUAGAUAGCUCCUUUUUAUUUAUUUACAAUAGGGACACAUUUUAAAACUGUAAAAUAUAAAAAUGAGAAUCUGAACAAUUUUUAUUAAUCUUAUUGACAUCUUACUAUGUAUUAGGGAUUUUAUCAGUCAUUAGUAUAAAGUCCUCUCUGAAGUUUGGCUUUAAUGCUAUUUACUUUUUAAAUGAAACAUGUCAAGCAUACUGGAAAUUACAGCGAAUGAUAAGUAUCAGUGCACAUACCAUUUUACCAUAUUUGCUUCAGAUUUUAUGUUUGGAAUAAAAUUUUACAGAUAUGGUUGAAUAUCUUUCUGAAUGUUUCUACCUAACCCCCUUCCCUUUCUUCUCUCCUCAGAGGCAUCCACUAUACCAAAAUUGGUAUGUAACAUUGCUGUCAAUAGUUUCAUACAUUUACUCUGUACACAUAUCCAUGAACUAUAUAAUAAUACUGCCUAGCAUAUUUUAACUUUAUAUAAAUGUUAUCAUAGAGUCUAUAUCCUUCUGAAGCUCGCUUUUAUUUUGCUCAACAUUUUGUAUUUGAGACUUAGCCGUGUUGAUACAUGUGGCUUUGUUCAUUUAGUUUAACUGCUAAAUACAGAAUUUCAUUGUACGAAUACUUGGUGAUUUAUUUAUUCAUUCUCCUCUUAGGAGAGUUUUGGUUGUUCCCAGUUUUCUGUAUUACAGUUUUGAAGUGAGCAACCUUUUACAUAACUCCUUAUGAACAAGUUUCUUUAGGGUGUGUUCCUGGGAAUGGAUAUGUUGGAUAUUACCAAAUUGUUCUUCAAAGUGGUUGUACCAGUUUACAUUCUUACUGACAGUAUAGGAGAAGUUCUGUUGCUCUGCAUCCUGCCAACAUUUGGUAUUGUUGAACUUUAAAUAUGUUUGCCAAUCCGUGGGUAUGAAAUGUUUAUUAUUAUGUUAUUGUAAUUUACAUUUCCUGAUUCCUAAUGAGGUUGAGUAUCUUUUCAUAAGUUUAUUGGCCUUGCAGGUUUCCUCUCCUAUGAGAUGGCUAUUCAUGUACUUUGUUCAUUUUUCCUUUGGGUUGCUUCUUUUUACUGAUUAAAAAAAAUAUAUAUAUAUAUAUACAUGCAUUAAAAAAUACAUAGUCAUUGUUUUGUUAAGUGUGUUGCAUACAUCUCUCAGUCUGUAGCUUGCUUUUUCACUUUGGUUGAAGAGAGGAUUUUUUGUUUUGUUUUUGUUUUUGUGUUACUGUGGUCACAUGUAUCAGUCAUUCCCUUUAUGGUCUUAUGCUUUUUUAUGUUUUAAUUAAGAAACUCUUCCCUAAUUGGUGGUCAUAAAGAUCAUCUCCUAUAUUUCUACAAAUUUAAAAAAUUUUACUCAUAACACUAGCUUUCUAAUGGACUUGCAUGCCUGUGGUAUGAAGUAAGCAUCUAAUUUUCUUUUGUUUUCCACAUGGAUAGCCAAUUGCACCAGCAUUCUUUGUUGCAAAUUCUACCUUUUUCCUUGUGAUUGUAAUGCCACCUCUGUCCUAUGCAAGCUUUCGUUUCGGUAUGGUUCUGUUCUGGGCUUGCUGAUCUGUUCCACUGGUCAUUUCCUCUGUAUGUCAAAGCCAUAGUGUCUUAAUUUAAAUUAUAAUAAACUCUUAGUAGCUAGCAAUAGCUAGGAGCCUCCCUCCCUCUGACCUGUUUGUUCCUCUUCAGGAAUAUCUUGGCUACCCUUGGCCCUUUGAGUCAUGUGAAAAACUCUGUUGGGAUUUGGGUUUUUAUUAAAUAUAUUGUUUAAUUUGGGGGAGAAUUGAAAUUAUUUUGACAUUAAUGCUUCCUAUAAAAAAUUUUUUUUUUAUCCAUAAAUAUGGUAUAUUGCUCAUUUAUUUAGAUCUUCCUUUGUGUCUUUCAAUAAUGUUUUGUAACUUUCUGCAUAAAGGCCUUGCACAUAUUUCUUCGUUUCUUUUUGGUUCAUUGUUCUUAUGGUUAUUUUUAAAACUACAUUUUCUAAUUGCUGCUGGAGUGUGAGAACAAAAUUAAUUUUUUUAACAUUGAUCAUGUACCCUACAACUUUGCUGAAUCCACUUUUUAGUUCUAAUAGUUUGUUGUAGAUCAUUUUAAAUUUUCUAGAUAGAUAAUCAUAAGAUACUCAAAUGAUGAUAGCUUUGUUUUAUUCUUUCCAGCUUACUCUUCUUCCCUUAUUGCACUAGCUAGGGGCAGAAUAGCAGGCAUCUUUAUCUUGUUCCUAACUUCAAGGGAAAUGCUUUAAAAUUUUCUGUUUUUGUUAGGCGUAUAAUGGAUAACUUUAAAAAUCACAGUAAGAACUUCUAUUUGUGUUUGAUAAGAACUUCUGUUUUUUUUUUUUCUGUUUGUAUAUAUAUGUGCUUUUAAUCAUUAAUGGGUAUUUAAUUGUAUGAUUUUUCUGCAUAUGUUGACACUUAGGAGUUUUAUACUUUGUUAAUGUGGCGAAUGACAUUUAUAGAUUUUCUAAUAUUAAGUUAUCCUUGUAUUGCUGGAGGGGGGAACAAACCCCAACUUGGUCAGUUUUUAAAAACUGCAUUGCUAAUUUGGUUUUGUUGAACUUUACUCAGGACUUUUACAUUUACGCUUAUUAGUGACUGAUUUAUAAUCUUUAUUUCUUGUACUGUCCUUGUGUGAUUUUGAUAUCAAGAUUUAAAUCAUCUCAAAAUGAAUAGAGCAGCAUUUCCUCUUUUUCUGUUUUCUGGAAUAACUUGUGUAGGGUUGGGAUUUUUUUUGAGUAUUUGAUAAAAUUUAUCUGGGCUUUUUUUGGUGGGGGAAGGCAAAGGGAGGGGGUACAUUUUAAACUCUAGUGACUGAAAGUCCCUUCAGGUUUUCUGUUUCAUCUUAAAUCAAAUGUAAUAAAUUAUCUUUUUCAGGAUGUUUUCUGUUUCUUCUAAAUUUUCAAAUAAUUGCAACAAAUGUUUCAUAUUGUCCUCUGAUUAAAAAAAAUCUCUUGCCCAUAAUUAUGUUUAAUUUUUUAUUCUAGUGUUUUUUAUUUGUGCCUUUUAACUUUUUUACAAUCAGUUUUUACCAGUCUUUGCAGCACAUGUUCAUUGUCAUUCAUUUCUACAUCUUUCCUAAAAUGAUUUCUUAUUGAACAAAUACAUUAUUUAGAAGUGCCAUUAAAAAUUUGAAACAUAGUUUUUUCAGGAAUUUCUAUUAGUGAUUUGUAAUUUAAUUACAUUUUAACCAGAAAACAUGAUUUGCGUGAUAUUAAUUCUAAGAUAUUUGUUGAGAUUUAUUUUGUGGCCUCAUACAUGAUCAAUUUUUAUAGAUGAUGUGUGCUGGAAAGAAUGUAUAUUUUCUAAUUGCAGGGUGCAAAGUUCUGCAUGUGCCCAUUAGAUUAAGCUUGCAAUUACAUUGUUCAGCUCCUCUAUAUCCUAAUUUUUUGCCUGCUCCAUCAAUCAUUGAGAAAACUGAGCUAAAAUUUCCUAUUGGUGAUGGGGUUCUAAAUUUUUCUUGUGAAUUUUGUCAACUUUACUUUUGCCUAUUUUGAGGCUCAUCAAAUUUAAAUUCUUAUGCUUUCCCAGUGAACUGUUCCUUUCUAUCAUAUUUUUUGUGAUACUCAUUUUUAAUUACCCUUUUUUUAGAGUUUAUUUUGUCUGAUGAUAAUGUAGUUACACCAGCUUUCUUUUGGUUGGUUUUUGCAUAGCAUUUUUUGUGUUCUUUUAAAUCUUUCUAUGCCUUAUGCUUUAGGUAUGUAUCAACUGAAUAUUGUUUACCUUACUUCCAGACAUAAGUAAAAUACAACUUCCAGUUGAAACUUUCAUUUCGGUACUGUUUUGAUUUGUUGUACACCUGACCUUUUUGAUCAAUGUAGCUUAAUACGAACCUGUUUGCUGUUCUUCCUUUUCCAGUAAGCUUUCCCUGAUAAUAAAAGAAAUCACAUGCACACAUAGGAGAAAAAAGUACUCAAUUACUCUGUAUAAAAGAAGAUGUUACUGCUUUAUCCUGCCUGUUCAUUUUCUGGUAUUAGAGGAAGGAUCCUAAUUUUCAAGGUUUUUUUUUUUUUUUUUUAAGCCUGAAAUUAUUGUAACUGUAGAGAAGUAAAAGCAGGAAGUUAGAUCUGCUUCUUGAUGCGAGUUUUACAAACUUCAUUGAGAAAAAAAAAAUUUUUUUUUUUUUUGGCAAAUUAGGGAGCCUGGUUUCAAUUCUGUCUUUUAACGUGAAUUAGUUUCCUAGGUUGCCCUUUCUGAGAAGUAGAACUGAUUGGCAUGCCUUCAUAAGCUUCUGCUGCAAUGGCAACUCCUCAGCUGUUCUUAGGGUAAGGAAGGUCUCGUGGAGGCUUCUUGGGACUUUUUGGGAGAGUCAGAGACCAUCCUUUCAUGACCAGUUAUCAGACAUGCCUGUGAAUAUUGCACCUCCUGGACAUACCUUCCCAGAGAUUUCAUACGAACUUGACUUCCUCUUUCCCUGUACUGAAACCACGGUUCAUGGGAUUCUAAUAAACAAGAGUAACAAGUUCUUAACUGGGCGGAGAGAGCCCCACCGCAGUAUCAUAGUUUUACCCACCAUCUUUCUGACUUACCUUUGUGUGGUUAUUGGUUACAUCAUGUGUUUAGGUCCUAUAUAAAGGACAUAUAAAAUUUUAAAAGUAAAGAUAGAAUCUGCAAUAACGGGCUCAAACAUACACUACUAUUGAGAGGAUGGUGCAGGACCGGGCAAUGUUUCAUUCUGUUACACAUAAGGUCACUAUGAGUUGGAGCCGACUCAGUUGGUACCUAACAACAACAAUAAAGACAGCAUCAAAUGAACUCCAAAGCUUUUUCAGCACAAAGGUUCUCUGACUCUAAAGUCCUUCCUUUUUUCUAAGAGAUUACAAUCAGAACUGAAGCAACAACUACAGAGGUAUGUUUAAGGUAUGUCCAACUCAGUCCUUUCACUCAGAGGAGAGUUAAUAUCCACAAGCGAUGAUUCACUUCCACUAACUGCCCAAAAAUGGAAGCUUUGUGAAUAGCUAUUUCAUCUGGUGAUUUAUCUCUCCAUCUGUGAUUCAGAAAGGGCAGAAAUGAGCAGUUCUCGUCAGUAAAUGCUUACAAAUUUGUGUCAGCUGAUUGUGGUUCUGUGUAUGUACCAUAUAUAAAGUUUUAAAGCAUUCAAAAACAAACAAAAAAAUCCAUUGCCAUCGAGUUGAUUCUGACUUUUAGCAACCCUAAAGAACAGAGUAGAACUGGCCCAUGGGGUUUCCAAGGAGUGGCUGGGGGAUUUGAACUGCCAACCUUUUGGUUAGCAGCUCAGCUCUUAACCACUGUGCCACCAGGGCUCUUUUAAAACAUUAGACGAUAGCAAAGUCAUACAGUGCUAAAAUGACUUAAUUUUGUUUGAUGAUUCACAAGGCACUUCAGCAUAUUUCAAGCCUCAGGUCAUCAUCAGGUAUAUAAAAUACUGGUCAAGACACAGUUCUCUGGCUGACAGCCCGCUGGGCAUAUCUGCUCCCAUCAGGCACACGGAAGAGUGACCUGUGGGCAGUGAACUGGGAGACAGUUUGCAGUCCAAGCACUAGUGCCAAAGAUUGAUCUCAGGGCACCUACAAACUUAUACUUUGUGGCAUCACUAAGGAUUCCCUGGGGUCUACAUGGCACUUUAUUUUCCACUGGUUGCUGUUGUUUCAAGGAGCCCUGGUGGCACAGUGGUUAAGUGCUCAGCUGCUAACUGAAAGGUUGGCAAUUGAACCCACCAGCCGUUCCAUGGGAGAAAGAUGUGGCAGCCUGCUUUUGUAAAGAUCACAGCCUUGGAAACCCUAUGGGACGGUUCUACUCUGCCCUGUAAGAUUGCUAUGAGUUGGAAUUGACUCACGGGCAACAGGUGUUGUUAGUUCAAGACUGGUAGGUUCCAGGUAUGAGAAAUGAAUCUUAAGUUUCCUGGGGAUCUUCUCCUAUUAGCUUUGGGAAACAGUAUAGUUUACUGAAAAACAGCAUUGAAUUGGGAGUCAGGAGAUCUGGCUAUAAAAAAAAUAGUCUCCUAUUAUCAGUGUAUUUGUCAGAGUAAAGAGCACUAGUUGCUCUAAUAAACAACCUCAGAAUUUCAGCGGCUUACACGAUAAAAGUUUAUUUCUCAUACAUGUGAGAGUUGACUCAGGUGUUCAGUAGGCUGCCUUCGCAGGUGAGUGGAUGAUUUCAGCUCUCUCUAUCUUGUGGUGCUGUCUUCUAGAGAUUUCUUGCAGUCUUCUGCUGGAUUAUCUGCAUUUAGCUGGCUGAUGAAGACAGCGCAUGGAGGACCAUAUGGAACCUUUUAAAGCCAGACUGAGCACUGGAUAGAUCACUUCUGCUCACAUCCCACUGGUCGGAAUCCAACACAUGAUCCCAACCUAAUUGCAAAGGAAGCUAGGAAAUGUCAUCUUUCUUGGGAACAGAAAACGGAACUGAUGAGCAUCUAUCCAGUUUCUGCCAGAGCCUUAACCAGCUCUUCAAGCUUGGACUUAAACCAUUUCUGACCCUAUUUCCUUCUUUGUAAAGUGAGGAAGACAGACUAAAUACUCUGUAAGGGACUUUCCAAGUCUGACCAUCUCAGUUCUGUGAUUCUGUCAAAACCCUGGCAGGGCUCUGGAAGCACUUAGCUUGGUGGUGGUUUCUUUCAGCCCAAGAGGGAAGAAGAAGGAUUAGUGUUAGCCCAAGGAUUCUCUAGCCUAAACCUGCAGCCUCCAGGAAGUUAUUCAUUUCCAGGAGUUCCCAAGAAUCAAGAUGACUACCCAGGGUGUAGAAUCACCCUAGGUCAUGGUGCUAGCACCCCGUUUCCGGUACUAAUGUGGCCAUGACACUUCCCCCUAAUCUUCUGAUUCUCAUGCUAUGAAAAGCAGUGACCCCUUGGGCUCCUCCCUAAAAUGCUUAAGGACCAACAGAGAGAAGCCAAAGCCAUGUACAGCCCCUGGCCCCAUAUAAUCUGCAAGAGGGCUUCACAAAAGGCUAGGCUGUUUCAGAGUGAUUGUGUUCACAAGUUAUCUUCUUUUCUGUUUCAAUGAUUUGUAAUUUGUUUCCUCUUUUAGUAUCUGAUGCGCCAUUGGGUUUAGACUCCACAAGGUCAGAGAUUAUGUCUGAUUUACAGCUGUAUCCCCAGGGCUUAUAAUAAUGCCUGGCAUAAAAUAAAUAUUUUUUGAAUGAAUGAAUAUUACUUUAAAAUAUUUUCAUUUAGACUAAGUUCAGGGCAAUAGAAUUUCUUGGGGGAAAAAGUUUUAGAAAUACAUACACAUAUUCACCUACUCAAUAAUUAGCUAAGUCUACCCUGUGGAUGCCAGAGAUUUCAGAACAAUGAGAAAGACUGUCCCUCAUGGCCUAGCCUAACCUUGACACAGAAGGGUUAGAACUGAGGGUACAAGUGAUGUUCCCCCAAGCCAGAAAGGACCUGCUGUUUGCAUUCGGUAGGCACCAAACUGUACCUUACAUGGAACAGUGGUCGUUUUCAUGAUAUGAGCAAGCUUCUCUAAACCAGUAAGUGUACAUGUCUUUUUUAAUCCCUUGGAGUAUAGGAAUUAGCUUUAUUUCUUAUGUGAGUCUCUCAGAGAGAAAAUUCGGACGUCCUGAAGCUCUUAUUGUCCCUGAAGAAAAGGUGUGAUUGAUUGUUCCUUAGCUUAUGCUUUUGGUUUCACUAUGAUCAUCGUCGCUUUGAGACAUCUGGUUUCCUUAGCUCACCACCCCACCUUACAAAUUAAGCCCAACUUGGCAGAUAAAUCUGCAGCAAAAAGGAGCAGAGAUAUCAAAUAAUAGAUGUCAAGACGCUGGUGCAGAGUUGCCACUCCAAUGGCCCUGACAUAGUUGUUUUUAUCAUUAUUAGUAUCUUCUAAUAUUAGUAACUGCCACUUGUUAAGACCUCGUUUGUUGUUGUUAGGUGCCGUCCAGUUGGUUUCAAUUCACAGCAACCCUAUGUAGAACAGAACAAAACACUGCCCAGUCCUGCACCAUCCUCACAAUCAUUGUUAUGCUUGAGCCCAUUGUUGCAGCCACUGUGUCAGUCCAUCUCAUUGAGGGUCUUCCUUCCGCUUUUACACUGACCUUCUACUUCACCAAGGGUGAUGUUCUUCUCCAGGGACUGAUCUCUCCUGAUAACAAGUCCAAAGCAUGUGAGAUGUAGUCUCGCCAUCUUUGCUUCUCAGAUUUGUUUGUUCUUCCAAGACAGAUUUGUUCGUUCUCUGGCAGUCCAUGGUAUAUUCAAUAUUCUUUGCCAAUGCCAUGAUUCAAAGUCAUCAGUUCUUCAUUCGUCCUUAUUCAUUGUCCAGCUUUUGGAUGUUAAGACCUUACUCCAAGCUAAGUAUGUGCUAACGGCCCUGCAUAAUUUUCCCAUUUAAUCUUUAUCAAUUUUUCAACUUCUUAUGAAGUAUCUAUCACUAUUAUUACCAUUUUUAGGUGAGUAAACCGAGGCAUAGAAAGGUUAAAUGAUUUUCCAAAGUCACACAGAUAAUAAGUGGCACACUGGAAAUUGAUCUAGGCAGCCUGACCCUCAAGGCUGAUCUCAAAUUAUUUGUACCUUUCUUUGGGCCAGCUCAUGUCAUUGGUUGAUUUCAUUUCUCAAUUAGAUCAUGACAAAUUUUUAUUCUGGAAACUCUGGUAAUCUUACUAUUAAAUCACAUACAUUCAAGUAAGAACAAUGUGUUCCAGUAUGUGUCUUCUCUCAAACAAUUCACAAGAAUAUUUAAGAGACUAGCUAAGCAUUGUUGAUGGCAGCAACCUACAAACCACCUCUCCUGAGCUGGGGACCAUUCCAUCGCCCAGUGCCCUUUGAUGCCAUUGCUCUAAUUGUUUCCACCUGACUGUGUCCCCAAAUAAAUAGAAUUGUGUGAGAUGUCAGAUCCAGCAGUGUACCAGGGUCUAGAGGAAAAGCUGCACUCUCUUUAUUCACUAACUUAUUAAUUCCAAAAUCCAAAAUGCAAAUACGUUUUCUGGCAGCGUUUGGGAAGUGGGGUUAAACAUUCCAUCUUUGAUUACAGACAGAAGCUUCUCACAGAUCAGAUAUUAUUCUCUUUUUUUAUUGCUGUGGAACUCGCUAAGCACCAACUUCCAGAUUCACUUAAAAAUUUCAUUAUGUAACAUUUGUUGUAUACAGAGAAUAUAUGGAAUGUAAUUGUAAGUUGUGAGUAUAACAAUAAAAUUGAACAACAAUGAUCCCAGCCCAAGUUUAAAAACUGCACUUCGUCAAUACUAUUGAUGCUACCUGUAUGCUCUGGCCCUCAUUCAUUCCCCUCCAUCUCACUUUUUUUUAAAAUUGUUCUUUAAGUUUACAAAUCAAGUCAGUGUCUCAUACAAAAACUUAUACACACCCUGCUAUGUAACCCUAGCUGC